AGCUUUGCGCAGUGGCAGUAUCGUAGCCAAUGAGGUUUAUCCGAGGCGCGAUUAUUGCUAAUUAAAUUUUUAGUGAACAUCUUUAGAUAUGUAUUUAUUACUUUCUUAAAUUAUAAAAGGAAUACAAAUUU
rnacentral:snRNA from 1 species